rnacentral:piRNA from 1 species
ACUAUGUGACCAUCAUUGAUGCC